AGUGAACGCUAGCGGUAGGCCUAACACAUGCAAGUCGAACAGCAGCACAGUAAGAGCUUGCUCUUACGGGUGGCGAGUGGCGGACGGGUGAGGAAUACAUCGGAAUCUACUUUUUCGUGGGGGAUAACGUAGGGAAACUUACGCUAAUACCGCAUACGACCUACGGGUGAAAGCAGGGGAUCUUCGGACCUUGCGCGAUUGAAUGAGCCGAUGUCGGAUUAGCUAGUUGGCGGGGUAAAGACCCACCAAGGCGACGAUCCGUAGCUGGUCUGAGAGGAUGAUCGGCCACACUGGAACUGAAACACGGUCCAGACUCCUACGGGAGGCAGCAGUGGGGAAUGUUGGACAAUGGGCGCAAGCCUGAUCCAGCCAUACCGCGUGGGUGAAGAAGGCCUUCGGGUUGUGAAGCCCUUUUGUUGGGAGAGAAAAGCAGCAGGUUGAUACCCCGCUGUUCUGACGGUACCCAAAGAAUAAGCACCGGCUAACUUCGUG
rnacentral:rRNA from 1 species